CGCUGGCGGCGUGCCUAUACAUGCAAGUCGAACGGUCUUUUCUAUGGAAGCUUGCUUCCACUGAGAAGAUAGUGGCGAACGGGUGAGUAACACGUGGGUAACCUGCCCAUAAGAGGGGGGAUAACAUCCGGAAACGGGUGCUAAUACCGCAUAGUUUUCUUGAUCGCAUGAUCGGGAAAGGAAAGACGGCCUUUGUGCUGUCGCUUAUGGAUGGACCCGCGGCGUAUUAGUUAGUUGGUGAGGUAACGGCUCACCAAGACGAUGAUACGUAGCCGACCUGAGAGGGUGAUCGGCCACAUUGGGACUGAGACACGGCCCAAACUCCUACGGGAGGCAGCAGUAGGGAAUCUUCCGCAAUGGACGAAAGUCUGACGGAGCAACGCCGCGUGAGUGAAGAAAGGUUUUCGGAUCGUAAAACUCUGUUGUCAGAGAAGAACAAGUUGGAGAGUAACUGCUCCAGCCUUGACGGUAUCUGACCAGAAAGCCACGGCUAACUACGUGCCAGCCGCUGC
rnacentral:rRNA from 1 species